rnacentral:rRNA from 1 species
GCUACUGCCAUCAGAGUUCGAUUAGGCCAUGUUAGUCGAGGGUACCUCUUCUUCUUCGGAGGAUGAGGUAACCCGGCGGACGGCUCAGUAACACGUGGAUAACUUGCCCUUGGGUCUGGGAUAACCCCUGGGAAACUGGGGCUAAUACCGGAUAGAGCAUCGAUCGCUGGAAUGCAUGAUGCUCGAAAACUACGGUGCCCAAGGAUAGGUCUGCGGCUGAUUAGGUUGUUGUUGAUGUAAUGGACCAACAAGCCUACGAUCGGUACGGGUUGUGAGAGCAAUAGCCCGGAGAUGGGUUCUGAGAAAAGAACCCAGGUCCUACGGGACGCAUCAGGCGCGAAAACUUUACAAUGUGCGAAAGCACGAUAAGGGAACUCUGAGUGCCCCCUAAGGGGGCUGUUCUAGUGUCUAAAAAGCAAUAGAAGUAAGGGCUGGGCAAGACCGGUGCCAGCCGCCGCGGUAACACCGGCAGCCCAAGUGGUAGCCACGUUUAUUGGGUCUAAAGCGUUCGUAGCCGGCUUGGUAAGUUCCUUGGUAAAUUUAGCCGCUUAACGGUUAAGCUUUCAGGGAAUACUGCUUGGCUUGGGACUGGGAGAGGUCAGAGGUACUCCAGGGGUAGGGGUGAAAUCCAUUAAUCCUUGGGGGACCACCGGUAGCGAAGGCGUCUGACCAGACCAGCUCCGACGGUGAGGGACGAAGGCUAGGGGCGCGAACCGGAUUAGAUACCCGGGUAGUCCUAGCUGUAAACGAUGCGGGCUAGGUGUUGGCAUUACUGCGAGUGGUGCCAGUGCCGAAGGGAAGCCGUUAAGCUCGCCAUCUGGGGAGUACGAUCGCAAGGCUUAAACUUAAAGGAAUUGGCGGGGGAGCACCACAACGGGUGGAGCCUGCGAUUC